UUUUGGACAAUGGGGGCAACCCUGAUCCAGCAAUGCCGCGUGAGUGAAGAAGGCCUUCGGGUUGUAAAGCUCUUUUGUCAGGGAAGAAACGGUGGGGGCUAAUAUCCUUUGCUAAUGACGGUACCUGAAGAAUAAGCACCGGCUAACUACGUGCCAGCAGCCGCGGUAAUACGUAGGGUGCAAGCGUUAAUCGGAAUUACUGGGCGUAAGGCGUGCGCAGGCGGUCGUGCGAGACAGAUGUGAAAUCCCCGGGCUCAACCUGGGAAUUGCAUUUGUGACUGCACGGCUAGAGUGUGUCAGAGGGGGGUAGAAUUCCACGUGUAGCAGUGAAAUGCGUAGAUAUGUGGAGGAAUACCGAUGGCGAAGGCAGCCCCCUGGGAUAACACUGACGCUCAUGCACGAA
rnacentral:rRNA from 1 species